rnacentral:rRNA from 1 species
CUAUGCGCCUUGCCAGCCCGCUCAGGUGUGCCAGCAGCCGCGGUAAUACGUAGGUGGCAAGCGUUAUCCGGAUUUAUUGGGCGUAAAGGGAACGCAGGCGGUCUUUUAAGUCUGAUGUGAAAGCCUUCGGCUUAACCGGAGUAGUGCAUUGGAAACUGGGAGACUUGAGUGCAGAAGAGGAGAGUGGAACUCCAUGUGUAGCGGUGAAAUGCGUAGAUAUAUGGAAGAACACCAGUGGCGAAAGCGGCUCUCUGGUCUGUAACUGACGCUGAGUUCGAAAGCGUGGGUAGCAAACAGG